CGGACGGCCGGCACGGCAACCGCUGCCGCCUUCCCUAACUCUUCCGGUCGGAUCGGGGCGGAAAAAGGGAGCGAAUGUCGCAGGAUGCUUCGUACUUGUGUUCGAGAAGAUGAAUCUGAGCCUCUUUCCGCCCACAACCUGGGGGUUCGGCGGAGCAGCUCGGAUGGCCGGCAUGUCAACCGCUGCGGCCGUCCCUAACCCUUUCGGUCGGACGGGGUGGAUAUAGGGAGGGAUGAUCGAAUGCUGCUUGCCUGCUUCGUGUCUGUGUUCGA